rnacentral:rRNA from 1 species
AGCUUGCUCCCGGAUGUUAGCGGCGGACGGGUGAGUAACACGUGGGUAACCUGCCUGUAAGACUGGGAUAACUCCGGGAAACCGGAGCUAAUACCGGAUAGUUCCUUGAACCGCAUGGUUCAAGGAUGAAAGACGGUUUCGGCUGUCACUUACAGAUGGACCCGCGGCGCAUUAGCUAGUUGGUGGGGUAAUGGCUCACCAAGGCGACGAUGCGUAGCCGACCUGAGAGGGUGAUCGGCCACACUGGGACUGAGACACGGCCCAGACUCCUACGGGAGGCAGCAGUAGGGAAUCUUCCGCAAUGGACGAAAGUCUGACGGAGCAACGCCGCGUGAGUGAUGAAGGUUUUCGGAUCGUAAAGCUCUGUUGUUAGGGAAGAACAAGUGCGAGAGUAACUGCUCGCACCUUGACGGUACCUAACCAGAAAGCCACGGCUAACUACGUGCCAGCAGCCGCGGUAAUACGUAGGUGGCAAGCGUUGUCCGGAAUUAUUGGGCGUAAAGGGCUCGCAGGCGGUUUCUUAAGUCUGAUGUGAAAGCCCCCGGCUCAACCGGGGAGGGUCAUUGGAAACUGGGAAACUUGAGUGCAGAAGAGGAGAGUGGAAUUCCACGUGUAGCGGUGAAAUGCGUAGAGAUGUGGAGGAACACCAGUGGCGAAGGCGACUCUCUGGUCUGUAACUGACGCUGAGGAGCGAAAGCGUGGGGAGCGAACAGGAUUAGAUACCCUGGUAGUC